rnacentral:sRNA from 1 species
CGGGACAGGUACAGCACAGGCAGCCAAUUCCCCCACACCUCCUUGUCCAUGUCCCUCCACCCUGUCUGGGAGGGACCACCUCUAGA